CGACAACAUCUUCCCCCUCGCACGAUCCCUCACGUGAAAAAAAUCUAGGGGAAAAAACCCAUCGACCGAAAAACUCUCCCGUCGCGCGCGCGAGGGCCAUGAUCGCACCACACCAAAAAAAGGCAGCUCAGCCCACGUGCGAGAUUCAUCCAACAGCCGACCCACUCGCGCACGUCCCACACCCCUAUCUCCCCCAGCCCCCUCUCGAUCCCAUCUCUCUCCCAAAUUUUUUUGGCAACGCCGGACUCCUCUUUCAUCUCCCAUGGCGACCAUAGGAAAGGGUAGGUAGAUCCAUCUCGCCCACUUCUUCCUGCCGUCGUCAUCGUCCUCGAGUCGACCAUGCUAGCUUCCGCGGCCCGUCGUACUCAUCGCAGGUGGCGGCGGCCAUGGCAAGGGCUCGUUUGGAAGAGCAGGUGGCGUACAAGGUCGCGUCGAGGUCCAACGACUGGAAUAUCGGCUCCGCAGAGAACGCCGUCACAGGUGCGUCGAUCUCAAUUUUCUCCAUUGCCGCUGUCUUCAUUACCUGUGCGCGUAGCAGGUGUGCUCUCACACUCACGAAUUUUCAGUACGCGAUGGGUUCUUUCUAAUUCAGAUCUUGCUUGCCUUAUCGUGAUAUCUUCUUUGCCAUGGUAAGCACACUAGCACAGCAUGGUUCGUUCACCCUCAUAACUUUUGUUAUGACAUUAUUAAUGUUGUUCAGAAAGCAGUUUUAGUGAAGAUCGAAUGGUUUUUAGAUUAAGUAGAAAAUACAAGAGUACUCUUCUGUAGUGUAUUGUUGUUCAACUGAGACAUAUGCAGUGGGUUUGAUGGCCGCAGGAUAAUUAAAGCCAAGGUAAAGACUAUACAUUCACAAUUCCUAUAGUUAUAAACAAGAAAAAAAAGAUAUAGGCAAGUACUAUUGUUUUAGACGCCGGUAAAAUGGACUAGAAUUUCAUGAGCUGUUUAGUCAGCAUGCUACCGCUCAUCGGUGGCGGAGGACCAAAUUUUUUCGAGGUAGGGCAGCCGAUACUACAACACGUGCGACUUCCUCGCUGCUGGCCUCUAGCGCCAGGGCAUGCGCCUCCACCGUCCAGUUUGGCAUCCGGUACCAGCACUCCUGCUGCCUGCUGCUAGCCGCUAGCCCGCCGGGGUUCGUGCGUGGCAUGUGCCUGAGCUCGUGGUUUGUGUUCUGCUGUUCCUGUUCGUACCUUCGUGAUGACUGGUCCGGUACAUCGUGUGUGUGUGUCGUAUGUGCAGCUAUCAGGCAAGGGCAUGACCCAAGUCACGGCCCAACAUCAAAGAGAACUCUUCCUUUCAGUUACUUAUUGCACCUGUCAUCUGAUCGAGCGUGUUUGCCGGAAAUAAAGGUUCCGCCGGUGCUACCACUAAUAUCCUUGUACUGUAGUAACUUCAGUAUUUCUCCCACUUUUUCUGCUACAUGUGUAAAUGUAGUUACAAUUGAGAAAGCAAGAAAUAUUUGUUUUGUGAAAAAAAAAUUGACAUAUCUUUGUUAUCUGGAUAUCAAAUUUAUUGCAAAUUAUUGCUGAAUGCAUCUUCAUUUGAGAAAAUGUGGACGGCCACAGGAGAAACAUAAACUUUGUCAUAUAAAGUUGGAAGUGUUUAACUGCUCAAACUUUCUACAUUGCAAACAAAUAAAGUGAUGCAAGGUAUUCAGAUGUCUACGGUUGAUGAGAAUUUACAUUGAGUUCAGCAUUAAAGUAUUUAAUUGUUGCUUUUGUGAUUGCUACUGUUUCAUGGUUUCAGAAACAUGUCUAUUGUGGACUGUUUCAUAGCUUAUCUUUUCCAAUCUGUUAUCUACAUAUAUCUACCUCAUGUUAAUGCACUAUCAAAAUUGUCUCAUUAAUUCUUGUCACUUUCUCAAGUAAAAAUUAUCCUUUGCCUGGCUUGCCCCUAAUUAUAUAAACCCUGUCAGAAUUCUAAAUCUUAUUUCAUAUGCAGAACUCAAAGAAUUUCAAGAAAGAUCAUUGCUUCAAGGUGGCAGCGGCCACAACAUAAUUGACAUCAAAACUAGAUCUGGCUCCUACAUAUCCGGUCUUGCUCGUCUAAAGGCUCAAAAGCAGUUGACCAUUACCUGUCACAGUAUACAAGACACCUAUCUAAUAUUGGGGAAAAUUCAGCUGAUAUGUUCAUAUGUAAAUCAUACACCCAAUUAGCUACAAUGCUUUCCAAGGCCAGUACCAUACCAACAUUGGAGCCAAAAGAGCAUGUGCCAAAUUGGACACAUACAUACGGUAUGAAAAUUUACGGAGAAGAGAAGGGCCCAUCACUCCAGAGUCUAGGAAAGUUGGGUAACUGUAAUCUUUUUAUGGAAAAAUGCAAAACCAGUCAGCCAUCAACCCUAACAGAGGGGCUAGCGCUCUUUAUCUCUAAUGCAUAAUCCUUUUAUUUGGCGUUGUUGCCAUGCCGCUAUAGCUGGUGUUUUGCUGUUCUCCUUUUCCUGUAACCAGUUGUACUUGGUUUUCUCUAUCCUCAUAUCAAUGAAAAUGCAGCGUUGAUUAUGUUUCAUCAA